CCUUAAUAACAUGCCAAGUCGAGCGAAUGGUUAAGAGCUUGCUCUUAUGAAGUUAGCGGCGGACGGGUGAGUAACACGUGGGUAACCUGCCCAUAAGACUGGGAUAACUCCGGGAAACCGGGGCUAAUACCGGAUAACAUUUUGAACCGCAUGGUUCGAAAUUGAAAGGCGGCUUCGGCUGUCACUUAUGGAUGGACCCGCGUCGCAUUAGCUAGUUGGUGAGGUAACGGCUCACCAAGGCAACGAUGCGUAGCCGACCUGAGAGGGUGAUCGGCCACACUGGGACUGAGACACGGCCCAGACUCCUACGGGAGGCAGCAGUAGGGAAUCUUCCGCAAUGGACGAAAGUCUGACGGAGCAACGCCGCGUGAGUGAUGAAGGCUUUCGGGUCGUAAAACUCUGUUGUUAGGGAAGAACAAGUGCUAGUUGAAUAAGCUGGCACCUUGACGGUACCUAACCAGAAAGCCACGGCUAACUACGUGCCAGCAGCCGCGGUAAUACGUAGGUGGCAAGCGUUAUCCGGAAUUAUUGGGCGUAAAGCGCGCGCAGGUGGUUUCUUAAGUCUGAUGUGAAAGCCCACGGCUCAACCGUGGAGGGUCAUUGGAAACUGGGAGACUUGAGUGCAGAAGAGGAAAGUGGAAUUCCAUGUGUAGCGGUGAAAUGCGUAGAGAUAUGGAGGAACACCAGUGUGUUCGAUAAGAACGACUAUUCUGGUUUGACGCUGUAUAACUCAAUAAUGACGCGCGAUGCUUCAAGUCGUGUGGGAGCCAAUACAGGGAUUUAGAAUACCCUGGGUAGUCCACGUGCCGGCUAAACGAUGAGUGCUUAAGUGUUAGAGGAGUUUCCGCCCUUUAGUGCUGAAGUUAACGCAUUAAGCAAUCCGCCUGGGGAGUACGACCCGCAAGGCUGAAACUCAAAGGAAUUGACGGGGGCCCGCACAAGCGGUGGGAGCAUGUGGUUUUAAUUCGAAAGCAACGGCGAAAAAACCUUUACCAGGGUCGUGGACAGUCCUCCUGACAACCCUAGAGAUAGGGCUUCUCCUUCGGGAGCAGAGUGACAGGUGGUGCAUGGUUGUCGUCAGCUCGUGUCGUGAGAUGUUGGGUUAAGUCCCGCAACGAGCGCAACCCUUGAUCUUAGUUGCCAUCAUUUAGUUGGGCACUCUAAGGUGACUGCCGGUGACAAACCGGAGGAAGGUGGGGAUGACGUCAAAUCAUCAUGCCCCUUAUGACCUGGGCUACACACGUGCUACAAUGGACGGUACAAAGAGCUGCAAGACCGCGAGGUGGAGCUAAUCUCAUAAAACCGUUCUCAGUUCGGAUUGUAGGCUGCAACUCGCCUACAUGAAGCUGGAAUCGCUAGUAAUCGCGGAUCAGCAUGCCGCGGUGAAUACGUUCCCGGGCCUUGUACACACCGCCCGUCACACCACGAGAGUUUGUAACACCCGAAGUCGGUGGGGUAACCUUUUGGAGCCAGCCGCCUAAGGGGACAAGA
rnacentral:rRNA from 1 species